GGGUUGUGAGGUUAAGUGACUAAGCGUACACGGUGGAUGCCUAGGCAGUCAGAGGCGAUGAAGGGCGUGCUAAUCUGCGAAAAGCGUCGGUAAGGUGAUAUGAACCGUUAUAACCGGCGAUACCCGAAUGGGGAAACCCAGUGUGUUUCGACACACUAUCAUGUCAUGAAUACAUAGUGGCAUGAGGCGAACCGGGGGAACUGAAACAUCUAAGUACCCCGAGGAAAAGAAAUCAACCGAGAUUCCCCCAGUAGCGGCGAGCGAACGGGGAGGAGCCCAGAACCUGAAUCGGCUUGUGUGUUAGUGGAAGCGUCUGGAAAGUCGCGCAGCAAAGGGUGAUAGCCCCGUACACUAAAAUGCACAGGUCGUGAGUUCGAUGAGUAGGGCGGGACACGUGACAUCCUGUCUGAAUAUGGGGGGACCAUCCUCCAAGGCUAAAUACUCCUGACUGACCGAUAGUGAACCAGUACCGUGAGGGAAAGGCGAAAAGAACCCCGGCGAGGGGAGUGAAAUAGAACCUGAAACCGUGUACGUACAAGCAGUGGGAGCACCUUCGUGGUGUGACUGCGUACCUUUUGUAUAAUGGGUCAGCGACUUAUAUUUUGUAGCAAGGUUAACCGUAUAGGGGAGCCGUAGGGAAACCGAGUCUUAACUGGGCGACUAGUUGCAAGGUAUAGACCCGAAACCCGGUGAUCUAGCCAUGGGCAGGUUGAAGGUUGGGUAACACUAACUGGAGGACCGAACCGACUAAUGUUGAAAAAUUAGCGGAUGACUUGUGGCUGGGGGUGAAAGGCCAAUCAAACCGGGAGAUAGCUGGUUCUCCCCGAAAGCUAUUUAGGUAGCGCCUCGUGAACUCAUCUUCGGGGGUAGAGCACUGUUUCGGCUAGGGGGCCAUCCCGGCUUACCAAACCGAUGCAAACUCCGAAUACCGAAGAAUGUUAUCACGGGAGACACACGGCGGGUGCUAACGUCCGUCGUGAAGAGGGAAACAACCCAGACCGCCAGCUAAGGUCCCAAAGUCAUGGUUAAGUGGGAAACGAUGUGGGAAGGCAUAGACAGCCAGGAUGUUGGCUUAGAAGCAGCCAUCAUUUAAAGAAAGCGUAAUAGCUCACUGGUCGAGUCGGCCUGCGCGGAAGAUGUAACGGGGCUAAACCAUGCACCGAAGCUGCGGCAGCGACGCUUAGGCGUUGUUGGGUAGGGGAGCGUUCUGUAAGCCGUUGAAGGUGGCCUGUGAGGGUUGCUGGAGGUAUCAGAAGUGCGAAUGCUGACAUAAGUAACGAUAAAGCGGGUGAAAAGCCCGCUCGCCGGAAGACCAAGGGUUCCUGUCCAACGUUAAUCGGGGCAGGGUGAGUCGACCCCUAAGGCGAGGCUGAAAAGCGUAGUCGAUGGGAAACAGGUUAAUAUUCCUGUACUUGGUGUUACUGCGAAGGGGGGACGGAGAAGGCUAGGCUGGCCGGGCGACGGUUGUCCCGGUUUAAGCGUGUAGGGGGUGUGACCUGGUAAAUCCGGUUGCAUAUCAACCCUGAGGCGUGAUGACGAUGCACUACGGUGCAGAAGUAGUUGAUGCCCUGCUUCCAGGAAAAUCCUCUAAGCUCCAGGUAACAUUAAAUCGUACCCCAAACCGACACAGGUGGUCAGGUAGAGAAUACCAAGGCGCUUGAGAGAACUCGGGUGAAGGAACUAGGCAAAAUGGUGCCGUAACUUCGGGAGAAGGCACGCUGGCAUGUAGGUGAAGUCCCUUGCGGAUGGAGCUGAAGCCAGUCGAAGAUACCAGCUGGCUGCAACUGUUUAAUAAAAACACAGCACUGUGCAAACACGAAAGUGGACGUAUACGGUGUGACGCCUGCCCGGUGCUGGAAGGUUAAUUGAUGGGGUCAGCCGCAAGGCGAAGCUCUUGAUCGAAGCCCCAGUAAACGGCGGCCGUAACUAUAACGGUCCUAAGGUAGCGAAAUUCCUUGUCGGGUAAGUUCCGACCUGCACGAAUGGCGUAAUGAUGGCCAGGCUGUCUCCACCCGAGACUCAGUGAAAUUGAACUCGCUGUGAAGAUGCAGUGUACCCGCGGCAAGACGGAAAGACCCCGUGAACCUUUACUAUAGCUUGACACUGAACAUUGAGCCUUGAUGUGUAGGAUAGGUGGGAGGCUUUGAAGCGUGGACGCCAGUCUGCGUGGAGCCAUCCUUGAAAUACCACCCUUUAAUGUUUGAUGUUCUAACUCGGCCCCAUAAUCUGGGGUGAGGACAGUGUCUGGUGGGUAGUUUGACUGGGGCGGUCUCCUCCCAAAGAGUAACGGAGGAGCACGAAGGUUAGCUAAUCACGGUCGGACAUCGUGAGGUUAGUGCAAAGGCAUAAGCUAGCUUGACUGCGAGAGUGACGGCUCGAGCAGGUACGAAAGUAGGUCUUAGUGAUCCGGUGGUUCUGAAUGGAAGGGCCAUCGCUCAACGGAUAAAAGGUACUCCGGGGAUAACAGGCUGAUACCGCCCAAGAGUUCAUAUCGACGGCGGUGUUUGGCACCUCGAUGUCGGCUCAUCACAUCCUGGGGCUGAAGUAGGUCCCAAGGGUAUGGCUGUUCGCCAUUUAAAGUGGUACGCGAGCUGGGUUUAGAACGUCGUGAGACAGUUCGGUCCCUAUCUGCCGUGGGCGUUGGAAGAUUGAGAGGGGUUGCUCCUAGUACGAGAGGACCGGAGUGAACGCACCACUGGUGUUCGGGUUGUCAUGCCAAUGGCAUUGCCCGGUAGCUAAGUGCGGAAAAGAUAAGCGCUGAAAGCAUCUAAGCGCGAAACUUGCCUCAAGAUGAGUCUUCCCUGGGCCUUUAAGGCCCCUGAAGGAACGUUUAAGACUAAGACGUUGAUAGGCUGGGUGUGUAAGUGCAGCGAUGCAUUGAGCUAACCAGUACUAAUGAUCCGUGAGGCUUAACCUUACAACACCGAAGGUGUUU
rnacentral:rRNA from 1 species